ensembl:scaRNA
UGGGAGCCUGAUACCCAAAUUGGGCUGAAGUACCGCUCUAAUUGUCACUGUACCUCCCUAGAGUAAACUGCCUUUUGAUGACCGGGACGAAUUGAGUGAAAUCGUAACGGACAGAUACGGGGCAGACAGUU